CAGACAGUUAAGCCAAGUAUUAAAAGAGUGAUCCUAGCUUUUUGCAUCAGUGAAUAGCUCAGCUAAAGCAGCGCACAUUUGCUGGUGUUCCCUAGGUUUGUUGCUGGGUGGCUUCCAGACAGACGUUGGAUCCAAAGCUGAACUCUCCCUCUGAAAACACGGUUGUUUUUUCAUAAUAGAGCUCAAGCUACAGCCAGACGAGCAGGCUGAAACCUAAUAUGAGCUUUUGCUGCCUGCAGUUUAGGAUGGGUUGUUUCUAGUUUCAGUUCACAUCUAUUCAAUAUGUGUAGAACUAUUAAAACCCUGGGUGUUGCCUCAUCUUCAACAUCCAUAAGGCCAUCUCAAGCAUGCUGACGUACCUACUCUUCCUGGUCUCCAGCUUGCUUCUCCGAACUCUCAUCUUAGUUUCUUCCCAGUCAUGGCUUUGUAAUGAACUCCAUAGUGCCUUCAGAUUGUGGAUGCUAUGGGCAGAGUGUCUCCUUGGGCUGCUGAGUUCUGCUGAAAGCUGCAGGAAACAAAGACUUCUUGCAGCAAAAGCCAAGUGUAAAAAACAUCUGCAGCUAAGGAGAUGGGAUGCUACAAAUAGUCCCAGCUUUCUGUAA
rnacentral:lncRNA from 1 species